UUGGAGGGCAAGUCUGGUGCCAGCAGCCGCGGUAAUUCCAGCUCCAAUAGCGUAUAUUAAAGUUGUUGCAGUUAAAAAGCUCGUAGUUAAAUUUCGGGGUCAGUAGGUCGGUCGUGCCACUGGUAUGAACUGGUUUUACUGAUUCCUCCCUCUUGAAGAACUGUAAUGCCAUUAAUUUGGUGUUGCAGGGAAUCAGGACUGUUACUUUGAAAAAAUUAGAGUGUUUAAAGCAGGCUUUAGCUUGAAUACAUUAGCAUGGAAUAAUGAAAUAGGACGUUUGAUCCUAUUUUGUUGGUUUCUAGGAUUGACGUAAUGAUUAAUAGGGAUAGUUGGGGGCAUUAGUAUUCAAUUGUCAGAGGUGAAAUUCUUGGAUUUAUUGAAGACUAACUACUGCGAAAGCAUUUGCCAAGGAUGUUUUCAUUAAUCAAGAACGAAAGUUAGGGGAUCGAAGACGAUCAGAUACCGUCGUAGUCUUAACCAUAAACUAUGCCGACUAGGGAUCGGAUGAUGUUAAUUUUUUAAUGACUCAUUCGGCGCCUUACGGGAAAC
rnacentral:rRNA from 1 species